CGGGGAAUAGUUCAAUGGCAGAGUAGCGAACUCUGACUCCGUCGAUCUUGAUUCGAAUCCAGGUUCCUCAG
rnacentral:tRNA from 1 species